AGUGAACGCUGGCGGUAGGCCUAACACAUGCAAGUCGAACGGCAGCACAGUAAGAGCUUGCUCUUACGGGUGGCGAGUGGCGGACGGGUGAGGAAUACAUCGGAAUCUACUUUUUCGUGGGGGAUAACGUAGGGAAACUUACGCUAAUACCGCAUACGACCUACGGGUGAAAGCAGGGGAUCUUCGGACCUUGCGCGAUUGAAUGAGCCGAUGUCGGAUUAGCUAGUUGGCGGGGUAAAGGCCCACCAAGGCGACGAUCCGUAGCUGGUCUGAGAGGAUGAUCAGCCACACUGGAACUGAGACACGGUCCAGACUCCUACGGGAGGCAGCAGUGGGGAAUAUUGGACAAUGGGCGCAAGCCUGAUCCAGCCAUACCGCGUGGGUGAAGAAGGCCUUCGGGUUGUAAAGCCCUUUUGUUGGGAAAGAAAAGCAGCAGGUUAAUACCCCGCUGUUCUGGCGGUACCCUAAGAAUAAGCACCGGCUAACUUCGUG
rnacentral:rRNA from 1 species